rnacentral:rRNA from 1 species
AAUUAAUGCUGAUGGUAUGCCUAAUACAUGCAAGUCGAACGGAUCUUGGUUUCGGCCAAGGUUAGUGGCAAACGGGUGAGUAAUACAUAUCUAACAUGCCCCUCUGUGGGGGAUAGCCGCUUGAAAAAGCGAUUAAUACCCCAUAGGAAGCUUUAUCCAUGAUUUAGCUUUUAAAGCCUUCGGGCGCUGAGGGAUUGGGAUAUGCUCUAUUAGCUAGUUGGCGGGAUAAAAGCCCACCAAGGCAAUGAUAGAUAGCUGGUCUUAGAGGAUGAACAGCCACAAUGGGAUUGAGAUACGGCCCAUAUUCCUACGGGAAGCAGCAGUAGGGAAUCUUCCACAAUGGACGAAAGUCUGAUGGAGCAAUACCAUGUGAACGAUGAAGGCCUUUUUGGUUGUAAAGUUCUUUUACGAGGGAUAAUUAUGAUAGUACUUCGUGAAUAAGUGACAGCAAACUAUGUGC